UACGGGGGGAGCAAGCAUUGUUCGGAUUUACUGGGCGUAAAGGGCGCGUAGGCGGCCAGCGCAAGUCAGUUGUGAAAUCUCCGAGCUUAACUCGGAAAGGUCAACUGAUACUGCGCGGCUAGAGUGCAGAAGGGGCAACUGGAAUUCUCGGUGUAGCGGUGAAAUGCGUAGAUAUCGAGAGGAACACCUGCGGCGAAGGCGGGUUGCUGGGCUGACACUGACGCUGAGGCGCGAAAGCUAGGGGAGCGAACGGG
rnacentral:rRNA from 1 species